CUCGGAGGGAGGAAAAAAAUGCUUUUCAGUGAUUCCCGAGAACACGAAUAUUUUUUAGGCUUUUGGGGACACUGAUUGAAAGGGUUUUCCUUAGAGAACUUCUUAAUCUUAGAGCCUAAACGGAAACUGAAAUACGCACCCAGCCCAACUUCCGGAGGACCAACAUCGCGACGAACAACCAGGAAGCGAUCGGCCUGGGAGCUGUCCCCGGUUCUCUGCUCCGCUCUCUAAGGAGGAACUUUCCGGGUCCUUACACUCUGUUUUUCUUGCCCCGCGUGACCUCAGCUCCGACCUAGGCUCCGACCCGGGCCGGCCACUCCGGAACCCGCCAUGUCGUCCGACUUUGAAGGCUACGAGCAGGACUUCGCGGUGCUCACGGCAGAGAUCACCAACAAGAUUGCAAGGGUCCCCCGACUCCCACCUGAUGAGAAGAAACAGAUGGUUGCAAAUGUGGAGAAACAGCUUGAAGAAGCGAAAGAACUGCUGGAACAGAUGGAUUUGGAAGUCCGAGAGAUACCUCCCCAAAGUCGAGGGAUGUACAGCAACAGGAUGAGAAGCUACAAGCAAGAAAUGGGAAAACUCGAGACAGACUUCAAAAGGUCACGGAUCGCCUACAGUGACGAAGUACGGAAUGAGCUCCUAGGGGAUGACGGGAAUUCCUCAGAGAACCAGUUGAUAAAAUUACGUGAAGAGAGGGCACAUCUGCUCGAUAACACAGAAAGGCUGGAAAGGUCAUCCCGGAGACUAGAGGCUGGGUACCAAAUAGCGGUGGAAACCGAACAAAUUGGCCAGGAGAUGUUGGAAAACCUCAGUCACGACAGAGAAAAGAUACAGAGAGCACGUGAAAGGCUUCGGGAAACAGAUGCUAACUUGGGGAAAAGCUCCAGGGUUCUGACAGGGAUGUUGCGAAGAUACUUGUUCCUGGCUGGAAGACACUUUGUGAUAUUUGUUUGAUGACACACACCUGCUGGGUAGAUGAAAAGCUCCUGCUCCUGAGGAUGAACUACUUCAAGGGCACAAAUCAUCCAGAACCGGAUCCUGAUCGUCAUCUUGGGCAUCAUCCUGGUUAUCACCAUCCUGACGGCGAUCACUUUUUCUGUCAGAGGACACUGAUGUAUCUGCUCUUCCUUGAUAAACAGCGACCACGGCUCGUUCUGAGUAAUUAAGACAAAAUGGUCACAUGAAUCAUUUUCUUGCGCUGACAGGCUCUGAAUGACCCUCCCUCUCUCUCUCGCCACUGUUCAGCUGAAGUGCAAAGACUGUAAAAAUAUUUUCUAUUCCUGUUUGCAUGUGGGUUGGUUUCCUUUUCUAGGUUUGUCUUCACCCAGAUUUGUCCUUUAUAGGGGAAGGCGAGUGUUUAUUUGCCUUUUGGUAAUUUCAUCUACUGACCAGAAUAGCCUGGGUGACCUUCUUGCUUGCCCUGUGGACGUGGCAGGGAUCACGGUUGGGGAGAGGGCACAGAUGAGUCAGUCACAGCGGCUUCUGAUGGGCUGUGCUGUUUGUCACACACCUCUUGUCACCGAUCAACCCUUCUGUGAUGUCUGAGGAUAAAAAAUGCAGAGACCAGCAGGGCCAGAGCCACUGACUGGCCCUGCAAACCAGUCCUGUUCCUCCCCAGACAUAAUGAAUAUAGUCCACCUGCCUGAGUGUUUUCAUUGUAAAGGUGGGUAUUUAAAAGCAGUUGUGUGGGAAAUUGAGUUAGCACUUUCCCCCUUUUUCUAUGCGUACUUUUUUUUUUUUAAACCCAAGAAUAUUUUUUGCUGAGUCUGCCCAAUAUCCACUUUUCACAACUUUGAUUACUGGCUGCAAUAAAGAUUCCCUUGCCUUCCAAAAAUCCCAUCCUCCCCAGAAUCUGGUGGCAGAGAAUGCCCCAGCACAGUACUUCCCGGUGACCUCCUCUCCCCUGACCUGUGUAGGCGUCUCUGUAUACUUUCCAUCUUAAUAUCUGUACUGUCAAAAGGAGCCCUCAUACAUGCAGAGGGUCUGUCAAGGUUCUCUCCACAUCCAUUCCAGUAUGUAAAGAGAACAUGAAUAUUUCAGGAAGAGCAGGAACAUGAUUCCGUCAGUGCGAAAUUUCAGAUGUGAUUAUCAAUAUGGUAUAGUCCUAUAGGCUGAUCCACUGGAAAUAAACUUGAUGGGAAAACAUUCGCUAACCUCCUUUCAAAGAAUCAGGGGUCGCAGUGUGUUACAGUAGGACGGCUUGGGUUUUUCACUAACAAAUGCGAGCACAGCCUUCCUGAAUCCACAAGGUACUCAAACCUCUAAUGUGCUUUGUGAUUUUCUUUGGUUUCUUCCUGUCCAAGGGAACCAGGAAUUGCGUUCAAAAUGAGUUCAUUUAUGAUCAGGCUCCAAGUUGCCUGAGCUGAGGUCAUUCUCCCCCUAGUCAUAACGUGAAAUGUGUUUUUCUUAAGACUUCAUAGGCACUUCCAGGGUCCUUUCUAUCUUUUGGAUAUAAUUGGGAGCUCUGAAUCCUUGAAAAGCAAACCUGUUCCCUUCAUAAAAAAUGCUAACCACCUGUGCCCAUGGGCUGAGAUCACCUGGAUGCAGCACUUGAUUUUUUUUAUUCUUCUCCCAACUCAGAAGUGAACCAUUAUGGUUUAGAGAGGAAACACACAAUGGCAAAAUCCACCCGAGAAAUUGCACUUAUUGAAACAGGCUAGGGCCUGCAUGUGUUCAGAUAAAUCAUUUAGUAUUGUGUAAAUAAAGCCGCAGCCUUUACUUCUCGAGGAUGGUGUGGGAUUUUGGCAGAGCGCAGUAGCCCAGCAAAAGAGGGAGGGCUAUACUAAUUUUCCUAUCAGCUUCAGGGCUCUAUCCUAGCAAGAAAGAAUCUUUUAUUCUGAUAACGGAAUGAGUGUGUGUGAAACACAUCAAAGAAAUGAUGAAAAAGCAAGGCAACAAGUCAUCUCCUUCUCAUUUGGAAACUCUAAUGGUGGGGAAGUAUUCUACCAACCUUUCUGGUGGCUUCCCUCAAAACAGCUGGUCUUAGCUGAAGUGUAUAAUCGGUUACCCAGCCACAGCUCAUGCCUGUAGACUCUUCCUGAGGCCACCUGGCAAGCCAGGUCAAUCUGAUCAUCUAAACUUGCUGGCUUCUAAAUAUUUCACCUGAUGUUCAUGUUGAAAGUAGAGGUGGUGCAGAAAGAGGGUAUGGUUCACCUCUCAAUGGCAGCUUCUUUGGGGUUCUAUCUCUUUAUCAGCCCUUGCCGGAGACUUUGCCCCACUUCAACCUUAAGAGUGGGAAGAAGGUGAACAGAUAACCCUUGGCCCAACAGCCCCAUCCCAUCCACCUCGAGAACAACCUCCUAGACCGGGAUAGUGAGCACUUUGUAGGAAGCUGGUCCGAAGGCCCCUGUAUCCCCGGCUGGCCCUCCCAGAUGCUGCAGACAGACUCAAGGAGCCCCCGGUGAGGAACACUGUUCACCCUGCUUCCCUGGAGAAGGGGGAAAGCCCACUGAUUCAAAGCCAUUCAUAGAACUGUGAAAGGUCCUAGGAACUUAGUACGUCGACCUUGAUUGAUGAAUAUCUCUAAAGUCAGGAGCCUUUGUUAAAAAAUUGUGUUCAGCAGAAGGGUUGGGGGUUGCUGGGGAGGAGGAAGAGGAAGGAGGAAGCCCUUGCCAUAUAAAAUUCAUGCAGACUAAACAGUUUCCCUGACAGAAUAAAUAAAGCGGAUGCUGCCCUGCUCCAGAAUCAAAAGCAAUUUAAUUAAAGUCUCUUAAGUUGUAAAGAGUUUUAAAUGUUCCAUGUUGAAGACGAAUGCCGGCAAAUGCAGCGAGCCUGACGUCAGCUGCCAGGCCUGGACUGGGAGGCCAUUUGCUAUUCUGUUUAAGGCAGGCUGGAUUGUCUUAUUUUGGAACCAGCUUGGUGGGGGGUUUGCUUUGCUACUGCUUCUGAGCCCUGAGCUUCAAAGGCUGAAAUUAAUGGUGAACAAAAUUGUGCGGCUCUGGCCGUCCCAUGCGGGGCAAGCCCAUUGAGGGUUAUCAUUAAGUAAAGAAAUAAAGAGGGGGAAAAAAGCCUGCCUGUUCCAAAAACCUCAUCAGAUAAUGACCUCAGUGAUUGGAUUUUCAUUACCAAACAGCAUCCAGAGAUUAUCUACUCCAUGGAAGAAGGGAGGGGGGAGGGAAAAAAAAAAAGAAAGAAAGGAAAGCAACUGUCUUUCUCUUCCUCUCUCUCUCCUUUUUUUUUUUUUUGCACAUCUUUUCUUUAAAACUGUCAGAUCAUUUCAGUAUUUCAAAUCCGAGGAAAACAGCCUGCCUGCUGCUGUAUUUGAAGUUGUAAUGGUGUCAAAAAGUCACGACUGACUGACAGCCGUCAGUCCCAGAGGGGCUCAUUAAAUCAUAAAAACUUGACAAGGAAAUAAUUGCGCAUCGCCAGCAACUUGGCGCCUGUUUAGACGUUUUUAUUUUCUUUCAUUAUUAGUCCCCACCAUUACGUUCAUUAACAAAUUGCAUUAAACAACUGUUAAGGGCUAA